GCUGGGCGUGGCGUCGCACGCCUGUAAUCCCAGCUACUCGGGAGGCUGAGGCAGGAGAAUCGCUUGAAUCCGGGAGGCAGAGGUGGCAGUGAGUGGAGACCGCACCACUGCACUCCAGCCUGGGCGACAGAGUGAGACUCCGUCUCAA
ensembl:misc_RNA Metazoa_SRP Metazoan signal recognition particle RNA